CUCAGGGAGGUAGUGACAAGAAAUAACAACACUGGAAAUUUUAUUUCUAGUGAUUGGAAUGAUGGGAAUCUAAACCCCUUUCAGAGUAACAAUUGGAGGGCAAGUCUGGUGCCAGCAGCCGCGGUAAUUCCAGCUCCAAUAGCGUAUAUUAAAGUUGUUGCAGUUAAAAAGCUCGUAGUUGGAUGUCUGCUGGAAGCAAUCAGUCCGCCCUAUUUGUAGGGUGUGCACUUGAUGAAUUUUGGCAUCUAUGUCCUAAUGUGAUAGAUACGGCGGUGUAUAUGGGUUAAUCCUAUAUACCCGUUUUUGUAUAUUAUAUUGGGAUAAUACCGUUACUUUGAGAAAAUUAGAGUGUUUGAAGCAGGCUAAUUGCCUUGAAUACUGCAGCAUGGAAUAACAAUAUAGGAUUUCGGUUCUAUUUUGUUGGUUUCUAGGACUGAAAUAAUGAUUAAUAGGGACAGUUGGGGGCAUUCGUAUUUAACUGUCAGAGGUGAAAUUCUUAGAUUUGUUAAAGACGAACUACUGCGAAAGCAUUUGCCAAAGAUGUUUUCAUUAAUCAAGAACGAAAGUUAGGGGCUCGAAGACGAUCAGAUACCGUCGUAGUCUUAACCAUAAACUAUGCCGACUAGAGAUAGGAAAAUGUCAUUUUUCUGACUU
rnacentral:rRNA from 1 species